CAUAAUUCAUGAAAAAGGGACUGUUUCACGUUGAAUCACAAAUGAGAUUAUGUGCAAACUCAGCCCAAGGAAUCAGAGAAACCCAAUCACCUGAUGUUUGGAAACAAAACAUUGUAGAUAUUGUUAAAGUUUUUGAUUAGUACGCUUGGCUGCUUCGUUUGAUUGAGGAUGAUAAGCUGAUGAGAGAUUCUUCCUGAUACCCAUCUGAGAACAGAAUGCAUUCCAAAAACGUGAUUCGAAC